UGUCGACUUGGAGGUUGUUCCCUUGAGGAGUGGCUUCCGGAGCUAACGCGUUAAGUCGACCGCCUGGGGAGUACGGCCGCAAGGUUAAAACUCAAAUGAAUUGACGGGGGCCCGCACAAGCGGUGGAGCAUGUGGUUUAAUUCGAUGCAACGCGAAGAACCUUACCUACUCUUGACAUCCACGGAAUUCGGCAGAGAUGCCUUAGUGCCUUCGGGAACCGUGAGACAGGUGCUGCAUGGCUGUCGUCAGCUCGUGUUGUGAAAUGUUGGGUUAAGUCCCGCAACGAGCGCAACCCUUAUCCUUUGUUGCCAGCGAUUCGGUCGGGAACUCAAAGGAGACUGCCGGUGAUAAACCGGAGGAAGGUGGGGAUGACGUCAAGUCAUCAUGGCCCUUACGAGUAGGGCUACACACGUGCUACAAUGGCGCAUACAAAGAGAAGCGACCUCGCGAGAGCAAGCGGACCUCACAAAGUGCGUCGUAGUCCGGAUCGGAGUCUGCAACUCGACUCCGUGAAGUCGGAAUCGCUAGUAAUCGUGGAUCAGAAUGCCACGGUGAAUACGUUCCCGGGCCUUGCACACACCGCCCGUCA
rnacentral:rRNA from 1 species